GGGUGUUUUAUGCACUUUACAAUCAGGUCAGUGCAUUUUGGGAUGAAGUUCCUCAUAUAACAGUUUAUUCUCUUGUUUAUCAAAGGAAACUCGCACUGUAUACAGGAAUGAUCUUGUUGUUUCAUUUGAUACGGCUCUGAAGAACCAAUUGACAUGUGUGGAACAAAUGUGGACCUGUCAAACGAAGGUAGGUCUAUAUGCAAACGAAGGACUAACUAUAAUGUGUUAGAAGAUUACUUAUAUCAUUGAAUUGAGUGGAGACAUUUUUUCCAACAAUAUUCAAAGAUGUUGAUGCAUGAAGCGUAAAAUAGGUUUAAAUCUUAUACAAGCUAUUUUAUUCUGUUCUAUUCUAAGGGAGCGGUGUGUCAAUCAGCUUGGUGGGGUGUUUCGAACGGAGGCCGCUUCCAGCAUAUAAAAGGAGGAAGAUGAUCGAACUGGCAUCGGAAGGUGUGCGCCAUGCGAGAUCUCCAGAAUUCUGCAGGUGUCAAAUGGCUGCUGUAGCAAGAUUUUGAGCAGGUACCACAAAACCGGCCUCCUGGACCCGAAGGCGACCGGAGGUAGUAGACCUCGACUCCUCACCCCCGAAGUCAUCUCGAAAAUAAUCGAAUGCAAGACGAAAAACCCAACAAUAUUCGCCUGGGAAAUCAGAAAAAAGCUCGCGGCCGAAAGAAUCUGUAAAUCGGCCAAAGUUCCCAGUGAAGUGAGAUCACAAGCUACACCAGAAUGAUACAAAGUGUGUACAACUGUGAGGGAAAUAACUAUAUUUUUCGAUUCAUUAAGCAUUAUUUUUUCUCCUUGUCAAAAGGUGUCCUCUGUCAACCGAAUUCUCAGGAAAAUUCAACUCGACUCUGCGAUGUUGAGUGUGGAGAUUUCUGCGCACCGCCCCAGAUACCCAGGUCUUCUAGUGGAGACCCCAACGCAGUCAGAGUGAAGGAGAGGAGGAGAUGGAGACAGUUGAGGUGAACGAGCUCCAGCCUCCUGGGCCCAGCAUCGCAACCGCACCACCUUCACCUUGGAGCAAUGCAGAGUGUUAGAGCAAGAAUUCACACGGAGCCACUACGCAGACAUGUUCACCAGGGAAAAACUGGCAUCUGAGAUCAACUUCCAGAGGACACCAUCAAGGUUAUAUGGCACAAACUAUGCAUGCAACCUAUGUCAUUUCCUGUAAAAUGACCUGUAACACUGAGCUACAUCUGUUAUAAUUGCCAUUCCCCUUUGAAGUGUGGUUCUCAAACAGAAGAGCAAAAUGGAGGAGGAAGCAAGUACAAGAGCAGUGUCCAUGGAGCACAUACUCAAUUUCUGAUGAACCAAAAGACAAAGAUUUCCCUUCAGUGAAUUCGAUGACAACAACCAACUCAAUGACUCAACAGACUCACUGGCGUCAGAGGAGAGUUUGGGAGUACAGUUUGACACUUCAUGCUCAGAAAUCUCCCAGAGAUAUGGUCCAGCUACUACAACAGAGAGAGGUAUAGGAGGAACAGAAGUGUUGGGCUAUAGAGGCAUCUCCAUUCCACUUCCAUCCUCAGCAUCUCAAUACUCAGGCAGCACCACGUUCCCAUUGGUCCAUCCCCAGGACGAGAGGACGCCAUCCACUCACCAUGCAGAGAGAUUCAUUUUCCCAUUGGCUCAUCAUUACACAGACGUGAGGACAGUCUUCCCAUUGGCUCAUCAGACUGAGAGGAUGGGACAUUCAGUGAACUAUCAUUGGGAUGAUGGGUCAGAUUUCCCAUUGGCUCAUCACCAAACAGAGAAAGGUUUCUAUUGGCUCAUCACAGGGAGAGGACUGGUGGUCCAUCGCUUAUUUGAACGAAUGUGUCCCCUUUUCUCGCAUCAGUGAAUGUCAGAGCCAAACAUUCAUACACACACACACACACCUCUAUGGCUCUGCUGAUUACUACUGGGCAGGGUAUGCAACAGAGCUAUUGGAACAUAUCUCAGUGAAAUUGAUGAGUUGUUCUGUUUUGAAAGUAUUUUCAGUAAUAAAAAGCGAGUUCGUAUUAGUUGUUAUUAGUUCUUUCUUGAUAUAACCACUGAAUUGUACCAUAUCAUCAUCGCUGAACAGUUGAGACUACCAUCUUUAGGCAGAGGAGAGGCGACAGAGUCCUAUGGAUACAUCUUUCUCUCGCUGCCAGACAAGUUAAUCAGCUUGUUUGAGGGGAUCAGUUUGAGCGACACAGAAUUGCUAAUCUUGAUCACAUAAUGCAAAGUUAUUUUGGAUGCAAGGUGCUUGGUAGAUCAGUGAUUCUGCAAUGCAAUCCAUCUCAAACAACACAAUCUCUCUGAUAGAAAGAAGAAUGCUGACAGUGCACUGGGGUAUCUAUUUUCUGUCAGUGCUCAGUAUCUCCACCAGAAAUAGUCAUACCCUGAGACCCAGACUAAGGUAUCCCUGGGGCCCAGACUAAGGUUCCCUGGGGCCAAGACUAAGGUAUCCCUGGGUACCAAGUCUAUUGUGUACCGGGGCCCAGAUUACGGAUGAAUGUCUGUUGCUCCGACUAAGAUGUUACAACAGUGAUUCUGCUAAUCAAGGUCCUAGUGAGCAGCUAAUUGGUAGAGUCAGGUGGGUUAGAUGAUCGUUGGACGAGAGUCUGAAGGAGGGUAGUUCUACAGGAGGAAGAUUGGGCACCUCUGCUGUACUGCAUCCCCUCCACUGGAACCGUGAAUCAAAAGAGUUGCCCAAAAACACUCAAAGCAAGAGACCGUUGUAGUUCUGUGAGGUUUUCCAGUGGCUCUUUAAGAAUGAAUCUUUCCUCGAUUACCCACACCCUCUCUGAAAAUGUAUUGAGGUUGAGCAGGCGAGGAGAACCUGAGGAAUGGCAGAAAGACGAGUUGAGAUAGAACCAUUAGCUCAGAGAGCGAUCCAAGUUCAGUUUUUAAGAUGGCCUUCUCUUGUAGGCUUUGGAAGGGAGCAUGCAUACUUCAGCACGGUGACUGAGCAGGAUCAACACAUAAACACAACACAGGGUCUGAGCAUAAACUCCAUAGCACUACUUAGAUAUUUCUGAGGUCACUGCAACAAGCUUUUAAAUGACAUAAAUCAUCAUGAUUGAUUUUUUGAUUAAGGUUUUUGCAAGAGGAUCCCAUUGUGUCUACAAUGUUGCUCUUGCCUUUGGGAAUAGUCCAGCGCAAGGUUCACAAAUUCCUUUUCGAAUAAUUUCUCAUUAAGAUUUUCCGUUGUUUUUUUUCCAGUAGUGGA